CCUACGGGAGGCAGCAGUGGGGAAUAUUGGACAAUGGGCGAAAGCCUGAUCCAGCCAUGCCGCGUGUGUGAAGAAGGUCUUCGGAUUGUAAAGCACUUUAAGUUGGGAGGAAGGGUUGUAGAUUAAUACUCUGCAAUUUUGACGUUACCGACAGAAUAAGCACCGGCUAACUCUGUGCCAGCAGCCGCGGUAAUACAGAGGGUGCAAGCGUUAAUCGGAAUUACUGGGCGUAAAGCGCGCGUAGGUGGUUUGUUAAGUUGGAUGUGAAAUCCCCGGGCUCAACCUGGGAACUGCAUCCAAAACUGGCAAGCUAGAGUAUGGUAGAGGGUGGUGGAAUUUCCUGUGUAGCGGUGAAAUGCGUAGAUAUAGGAAGGAACACCAGUGGCGAAGGCGACCACCUGGACUGAUACUGACACUGAGGUGCGAAAGCGUGGGGAGCAAACAGGAUUAGAUACCCUGGUAGUCCACGCCGUAAACGAUGUCAACUAGCCGUUGGGAGCCUUGAGCUCUUAGUGGCGCNGCUACGCAUUAAGUUAGACCGCCGUGGGAGGUACGGCCGCGAGUAAACGUACAAGUAGAGUUAGACGGCGUGAGACGUGCCGACGGACGACGACGAGGGAGGAGG
rnacentral:rRNA from 1 species